AGCGAACGCUGGCGGCAGGCCUAACACAUGCAAGUCGAACGAACCCUUCGGGGUUAGUGGCGGACGGGUGAGUAACACGUGGGAACGUACCCUUAGGUUCGGAAUAACUCAGGGAAACUUGAGCUAAUACCGAAUGUGCCCUUCGGGGGAAAGAUUUAUCGCCUUUGGAGCGGCCCGCGUCUGAUUAGCUAGUUGGUGAGGUAAAGGCUCACCAAGGCUACGAUCAGUAGCUGGUCUGAGAGGAUGACCAGCCACACUGGGACUGAGACACGGCCCAGACUCCUACGGGAGGCAGCAGUGGGGAAUCUUGCGCAAUGGGCGAAAGCCUGACGCAGCCAUGCCGCGUGGAUGAUGAAGGUCUUAGGAUUGUAAAAUCCUUUCACCGGUGAAGAUAAUGACUGUAGCCGGAGAAGAAGCCCCGGCUAACUUCGUGCCAGCAGCCGCAGUAAUAC
rnacentral:rRNA from 1 species